CGGGAUAGCUCAGCUGGUAGAGCAGAGGACUGAAA
rnacentral:tRNA from 34 species